AUUGAACGCUGGCGGCAUGCCUUACACAUGCAAGUCGAACGGCAGCACGGGAGCAAUCCUGGUGGCGAGUGGCGAAUGGGUGAGUAAAGUAUCGGAACGUGCCCAGUCGUGGGGGAUAACGUAGCGAAAGUUACGCUAAUACCGCAUACGAUCUAUGGAUGAAAGCGGGGGAUCGCAAGACCUCGCGCGAUUGGAGCGGCCGAUAUCAGAUUAGGUAGUUGGUGGGGUAAAGGCUCACCAAGCCGACGAUCUGUAGCUGGUCUGAGAGGACGACCAGCCACACUGGGACUGAGACACGGCCCAGACUCCUACGGGAGGCAGCAGUGGGGAAUUUUGGACAAUGGGCGAAAGCCUGAUCCAGCCAUGCCGCGUGCAGGAUGAAGGCCUUCGGGUUGUAAACUGCUUUUGUACGGAACGAAAAGGUUUGGCCUAAUAAGCUGAGCUCAUGACGGUACCGUAAGAAUAAGCACCGGCUAACUACGUGCAAGCAGCCGCCGUAA
rnacentral:rRNA from 1 species